UGACCAAGGACUUGGACAACGUCUCUGUUUACAUCUAUAGUGUAUUACACAACUGAAGAUGUGCACAGUACGCUACUGCCUGCAUCCUACCACCACAGAGGAUCCGAUAUGCAGAACCAGCUUCAAAAACCAUUGCAAUUAUGAAACACAGUUAAUAAAUGCUUAUAUACA